CAGAAAUUGGUUUUUUGACAACAUGGGUCCUAUUAUGCCUGGCGAAAACCAGAUAUUAGGUUUUGGACAACAUGGCUCCUAUUAUUUCUGGCGAAUACCAGAUAUUAGGUUUUGGACAGCAUGGGUCCUAUUAUGCCUGGCGAAAACCAGAUAUUAGGUUUUUUAUACAACAUGGGUCCUAUUAUGCCUGGCGAAAACCAGAUAUUAGGUUAUGGACAACAUGGGUCCUAUUAUGCCUGUUGAAAACCAGAUAUUCAUUUUUAUACAACAUGGGUCCUAUAAUAACUGGCGAAAACCAGAUAUUGGGUUUUGGACAACAUGGGUCCUUUUAUAACUGGUGAAAACCAGAUAUUAGGUUUUGGACAACAUGGGUCAUAUUAUGCCAGACGAAAACCAGAUAUUAGGUUUUUUAUACAACAUGGGUCCUAUUAUGCCAGACGAAAACCAGAUAUUAGGUUUUGAACAACAUGCGUCCUAUUAUUUCUGCCUAAUAUCAGAUAUUAGGUUUUUUAUACAACAUGGCUCCUAUUAUGCCUGGCGAAAACCAGAUAUUGGGUUUUGGACAACAUGGGUUCUAUUAUGCCUGGCAAAAACCAGACAUUAGGUUUUGGACAACAUGGGUCCUAUUAUGCCAGACGAAAACCANNNNNNNNNNUUUUUUUAUACAACAUGGGUCCUAUAAUGCCUGGCAAAAACAGAUAUUGGGGUAUGGACAACAUGGGUCCUAUUAUGCCUGGCGAAAACCAGAUAUUGGGUUAUGGACAACAUGGGUCCUAUUAUGCCUGGCGAAAACCAGAUAUUGGGUUUUGGACAACAUGGGUCCUAUUAUGCCUGGCGAAAACCAAAUAUUAGGUUUUGGGAAACAUUG
rnacentral:lncRNA from 13 species